rnacentral:rRNA from 1 species
GGUUAAGCGACUAAGCGUACACGGUGGAUGCCCUGGCAGUCAGAGGCGAUGAAGGACGUGCUAAUCUGCGAUAAGCGUCGGUAAGGUGAUAUGAACCGUUAUAACCGGCGAUUUCCGAAUGGGGAAACCCAGUGUGAUUCGUCACACUAUCAUUAACUGAAUCCAUAGGUUAAUGAGGCGAACCGGGGGAACUGAAACAUCUAAGUACCCCGAGGAAAAGAAAUCAACCGAGAUUCCCCCAGUAGCGGCGAGCGAACGGGGAGCAGCCCAGAGCCUGAAUCAGUGUG